CCCUUAGAUGUCCUGGGCCGCACGCGUGCUACACUGACGCCUACAGCGAGUACUUCCCAGCCCCGAGAGGUGGCUGGUAAUCAGCAAUAGGCGUCGUGAUGGGGAUAGAUCUUUGGAAUUAUGGAUCUUGAACGAGGAGUGCCUAGUAAGCGCAGGUCAUUAGCCUGCGCUGAUUAAGUCCCUGCCCUUUGUACACACCGCCCGUCGCUCCUACCGAUUUCGAGUGGUCCGGUGAAUCUUUCGGACUGCGCGCGGCCUCGUGCCGUGUCGCGGAAAGUCAGGUAAACCUUAUCACUUAGAGGAAGGAGAAGUCGUANCA
rnacentral:rRNA from 1 species